AGAAACCAAUCCUUGUGUUUACCAAAUGUAAAAGUGUAUUGACGAAAAGUAAAGAGUCAAAUGUAAUUACAGUAUUUAUAUGAAUUAUUAUACUAACUAAUACACACAACUAAUAGUCAUUAGUGUGAAUUUAAUAAUAAGUGUAUUUGUGUAGCAGUUUUGUGAUUCAUAACUAGAGAAAACAUGAAAGUGCCUACUGACGCUUGAAUCCACCCUAAUACAACACAGUUCUUCUCUUUCCAAGUGGUAAAUUCUGGAUUGAUCGAACCGUCGACAUUCUUUUCUGUAGGAGCCGCUUGGGAUCCAUCAAUCACAUUUUGAAGAUGAUGAAUUUCCAAGACAUUUAAAAAUUGUGCCCUUCAAAAUAGAUAUGUAUCUACACGCUCGAGAGGAACGCGUAUCCAAUGUCUAACCUGGAAUCUAUAGAUACUAUCUGAAAGAAAAGGACCAAUACUCAUGGACGAGCUUGAUGUCGACAUCUCAACAGAAAAGAAAACAAAGAGAAGCAAAGAACAAAUAAUAAUCCAACAAAAAAACUAAAAUCACAAAGUACUGAAAAUUAAAUCAACAUUAUAUCAUUGAAAUCAGAAUAUAAUAGCAAUGACUUAUAGAGAAAUUCAUAGAUGAUGGUAUUUCCUGAUUAAUAUUUGAAGAAACUUAUACAAAUUCAUUUAAAUGAAUGAAAAUUAUACAGAGUUCAUUCAGACAAAACAAAUCAAAAUCACAGUUUAGUAUAUAUUUGUAAUUCUACUAAAUCAACUUGAAAUCGGAAAUAAAUAAAAAACAAAUCAAAUCAACUUGAAAUCGAAAACUAACACGUAUCUGAAAAUUGAAAUAAAAAACUGACACUGAAAAUUGAAAUCAAAUUUAACACGUAUCUUAAAAUGAAAUCAAAUCUGACAUGUAAAUUGAAAUCAAAUCUCCAAGACGAAAUGCAGAAAUAAUACAAGAAAAAAAACUAUGCAGAAACAAUGAAAUCACAACGGGAAAACGCAAUCGCAAUCCGCGAAAACGAUGCAGAAAUCAAAUCCGUGAUGAAAUUGAUGAAAUCAAAACGAUGCAGAUAUCCAAAAAAAAAUUCAAGACGGAACUUGCCAAGAAUCCGUGACUCGCGAGACGGAACUCAGAACUCGUGAAUCCAAUCGACGACGCCGCUAUGAAUUAAUCCAAUCGGCAAAUCGACGAUGAACAGGACAGAAUCAGCAAAAGAAAUCCGUAGACGACUCUGAAUGAAAUCGGAAAAAAAAAACAAAUCGGAAGAAAAGAAAAAACGAAAUCAAGAAAUCGAGUUGCUCAAAAGAGGGGAAAAAAACAAGAAUCGAUUUAAGAACGGAAGCAAGAAUCAAGACCUAUACCUGCGAUCGAAGGAUGUGAGAUUUCAAUCCUCGAUGGGAGCCGUAGAUCUGAAAAACCAAUCCUUAUGUUUACCAAAUGUAAAAGUGUAUUGACGAAAAGUAAAGAAAUUUUUUUUGUAGUGGAGUCAAAAUGUAAUUACACUAUUUAUAUGAAUUAUUAUACUAACUAAUACACACAACGUCAUUAGUGUGAACUUAAUAAUAAGUGUAUUUGUGUCUUAACAU
rnacentral:lncRNA from 1 species